GUGCUUGCUUUGGCAGCACAUGUACUAAAAAUUGUAACAAUACAGAGAGUAACAUGGCCCCUGUGCAAGGAUGACAUGCAAAUUCUUGAAGCGUUCCGUAUUUCA
ensembl:snRNA U6 U6 spliceosomal RNA